rnacentral:lncRNA from 1 species
AUGAGCCAGCAGCUUCCACUUCUGCAUUCCAGCUGGGCUGCCACUCUCAGCUCUGCUGGACGUCAUUUCACUGUCCUUUCUGAUCUAGGACAGGCGUAUGGGGCACAAGGACAAGUUGCACUUCCUCUGGCCCUCCUCAGGCCUUGGCUAGGUAGCCACCCGCUCCUCCUAAGACAGCCUCUCCCAAGAGAACUCCUGGAUCCUGAGUGUGACGGGACCAGGAUACCUUCGUUAUGCUGCACUGGAUGGCUGUGGAUGGGGACCGGCCGUUCUGGGCCAGUCAGGGACCUCCUGGAGCAGCUUGAGGCUUGGAAACGGCUUGCUGGACUCCCUAGAAAGAGCACGCGACUGAAAGGAGCAGCUGACCGCGGGGAAGAGCACAAGGACCACAGUUCUGUUUGUGGUUGGAGGUCACGGCCCCUAGUGGCCCCAUCCUGCCCCACUUCCAUACACUGGGGUCUGAGUCCUGCCCACCUCCCUAAAGCUGGGCCUCCAAGGGUCUGACAGGUUCUUUCUGUUGCUUGGCAACUGAGGGAGCUGUUGGCUGUUGCUAGGAGCAGGCUGGGGAGGCUGAGGAGCUAAGCUCUCCAGCCAGGGGUGGAGUGUGUAGCGGGGGAAGGGGUCUGCCUUGGAGCUGGCUUGCAAUCUGUGCACGGACAGAGUGUGCUCCGGGCUGUGUCUGUCCACAGUUAUAGCGUGUCCUUUGGAGCAGGAGGAUGUUAGAGGUUAGGCCUAUGGGUGGGUUUCUACAGCAUAUAGCUGUCUGUGUCCCUAGCAGGCAUUACCUCUUUUUGCCGUUUAUUGCAUGCCCAUGGCAGGGCCUGCUUGAACUUUGACUUGGGCGGAAGGAACCGUGUGAAAACCACCGGAGGAUUACAGGCCAGUACAAGGGAGACCCUGAGAUAGGGACACACAGACAUUCUAGGGGAAGCAGGCAGCCAGCAAACUGGGAGUGGAAUAAGGUACGUGGCAAGGUAGGAAGGAGGGUAGGCAACUCGGCGGCGAAGUGUGAACCACAGUACUGCCGGCUCCCCGCUGGCUUUGGAGACCUCACCAGUCCUCGGGAUGGGGCCUCCUGGGCCCAUGACACCGGGGCUCACGGGACACCUUCCUGGGGAGUCCUUGGCAGACCCUUCAAAUGUCCCGUGAAGACUGGGGUUGUGGGCUCCCGCUGGAGAGCGGAUCAAAAGAUUCGAAAGCCAGGCGUGAUGGAGCACGCCUGCAACCCGCGCACUCCCGGAGGGUGAGGCGGGAGGGCAAGUGGGACCUCAGGCGGGCAGCUCUGCAAUGUAGCGAAACCGUGUCUCAAAAUAAAAACAACCAAGGUUGGGGUGCGCGUCCUUGCAAAAGCCCUGGAUUUGAGCCCAGUAUUGCAGGGGGAAAAAAAAGAUUUGAAAUGUUCAGCUGGAAAGGCUGCUGCCUCCACUCUCGCCCAGGCUCAGGGCUGCAGCCAGUACCCAGUGGCGACAGGUCACCAGGGGAUGGGAAACGGGAACGAAGCCACUGCCAUAGGUGGACAGGCCGUGGAAGGGACAGGUCAUAAACUCAUAGUGACUUCCAGCUGGGCGUGGCGGCAGGGCCUGUCUGUGAUCCCAGGACUCCGCAGGUUGAGGCAGGCGGAUCCCCGAGGCCACCCUGUGCUACAAAGCGAGACCCUGUCUCAAAAGGCAAAAACAAACGAACAAACGUCAUAGUGACUUUUGUUUCCACAAACCCAGUGGGGCCUUCUCUCUCCCUGUCGUCCGGGUCGCCCGGGCCCAGGCUGGAGUCCAGCGUGGCCGCCUCCAGGACGGUGCUUUUCAGCAGGCCCGGGAAGGGGGAGGGGCCCUGGGCCGACGAGGAAGGGCAUCCAUCCGCGGGAAGCAGCCUAGGCAGAGUGCGGACGCGGCCAUCGACUGCUUUUGUUUUUUAUUUGCUGCAACCCGGAGAAAAGAAAAGGGAAAAUUUAGACGGUCUGCUCGCCUCCCAGGCUCCGCAGAUCCCAGAGCAAGUUUGCUGGGGUCACUGACUUUGCCGAGGGAUGAAGACACACCUCCUCCACCAGGCCACCCGGCUCCCCAAGUUCCGAGGGCCGCGGGCUCCCCGGCGGGCGAGGGCCCCGCGGC